GAACGUGUUCAGAGCACACAUCUAAUCGAGAAUAUUAGAAGAUUAACAUAAACAAAUUGAAUGAACACAGAACGGGGUCCUACACCUAGAGGACUCGAAGAUACCGAUGCGGAAGUGUCUGGAUGUCGGGAUUGUACGCCUCGAUUCUAAGUCCUGAAGGGGGCGCAAAACAAACAUGAGUGGACCAAGUUGAUAUAUAUAUAUAAUAAAACAGUUAUCAACGUACUAACCCCCAGGUUUUAUGAAAACACAUAUAUAAUGUUAAACAUAGGUUUUCCGAAACCUAGCAUGUCGUGCAAUGUCUCAAAUCAUAACUCAUAUAUAUAAUAAUCACUAGUGAAUUGUCCGAUAACCUGCAGGCCCCAUGCCAGCUCCCCGUCUCUGAGCGGACAGUCAGAGGAAUAUACACUACAGGCCCCAUGCCGGCUCCCCGUCCCUGUGCUAAAUAGCCAGAGGAAACACACUCCAGGCCCUAUGCCAACACCAAACCGUCGCCCGGGACGGACCGGAAUCUAUCCCUACGUCCCGUAGCGGAAAGGACCACUAGGUAAGUACGAAACCAUUGAACAUAUAUAUACUGAAAAACAACUUCGUAGUAUAAAGUCAUCCAUCAUCUAUACUACAAAGAGGUGUUCUAAACAUGUUCUAAAUAUCAUAUCGUCAUCCAUCGGAUAUUCUAUAAGAACAUGGGUUAUAGGAAAAAUAGUAAUAAUUCAAUCUAGCCUCAGUAAGCAUACUAUCUCAUAAAGUAUUUCAUAAAACAUAAGUAUUAAAUCAUGAUUUUCAUGUAUGCAUUUCUAUUGUUAAAACAUGCUUUUGAAGGGGUCCACUCACAAAUACUUAGCCGCCGAAGAGCCACGCAAACUAGCAAUCAUGGAAACGUCACAAAUAUUGCCCCUAAGCACAUAAAGGGUACAAUUAAUAAAACUAUAUAAUAGCAAUUGAAUUUGGGAAAACGGACGUUGGAAACGGAUUCGGAACGUCGAAUUUAGCCUAGGAGAGGUCUUGGACGAAACCCCAAAAAGUCAACUCAAAAAGUCAACGUUGAUCGUUGACCGAUCAAAGUCAAAGUCAACUCUGACCGUUGACCGUUGACCAGGUCAACAGUCAACUGGUCAGAGGUCAAAGUCAAUUGGGCUUUGAAUUGGGUUGGGCUGAAAAGGGCUGAAAAGGGUUUUGAGGAAAAGGGCUUUCAGCCCCUUAACAGAAAAUGGCCCAAAGGGCCCUAAAUUCCUAAAACAGAAAAUAAAAUAAACAAAAACCUUAAAAGGUUUUUGGGUUGGGUCAUGGGCCACAGACCCUAAACAUAAACGGCCCGAGGGCCUUUGGUCUUAACAAAAUAAUUAAAUGAAAACAAAUAAAAGGAAAUGGGUUGGAUUGGGCUGGCCUCACCACACGGGCCUAAGGCCCUCUUGCUACAGGAACCGGCCUGGGAGGCCUGGCCUCACCGGAGCACCACCACCAGAGCUUCACAGCUCCGGCCGACUUCCACACACAACCCUAGACUUCGAUCUAGGUACCAAAACGAAGAGCAAGACGAGGGGAGUAUUUCUAUACCUUCCUUUCGUCGUGGAAUGGCCGGAGAUGGCCGGAAAAAACCUCCGAGGUUGCCGGAGUUGGGUGUGCUUACACCCGGCUUCGAUUUCGUCCCAUAACCUCCAAAAAUCACGAAUUAACUCCAAUUAAACCUCAAUCUCGCAAGAAUCAAGGACGAAAAGAGAGAAUUAGGGGCUUACCUAACCGGAAAAUACAAAAAUCCGCCGGAGUUCCUUUCCGGGUUUUUCGCCGAGUUCACAGAAACGAGAGGGAGAGAGAGCAGGACGAGAUGAUGAAGGGUGAUGGGCUUCCUCGCGCGGGGGAGAUGGGUGCGUGCGUGUGUGCACGGUGCAGAGAAGAGGGAGAGAAGUGAGAGAUGAGAGAGAGCCGAGAGGGAGAGACAUGAAGAAAGAAAAGAAAAACAGAAAAGAAGAAGAAAGAAGGGAGUUCACGGGGGAAAAGAGAGAAGAAAGAGAAAUUGUUUGGGGGGGCUGCCACGUGGCAGAUUUAGAAGGAAAAGGGAUCCAAUGCUUUGGAUCCUGAUUUGGUAGACAAAAAGGAUGAAAUAGAUAUAUUUAAAACAUUUAGGGGUAAUUACAAACAUAAAUCUUUAUAAUUAGGGGGCGGGUGUUACAAUCUUCCCCCCUUAUAAAAAUUUCGUCCCCGAAAUUUAAAAUCAUUUACUAAACUGAAGUAUUCGAAAAUAGUAAGAAGAAUAUAUGUAUAAAGAGAAAUCAAGUCAGAGUGGGUGCAUCAAAGAGAAUAUGCCACACCGUCGCGAGCGGGUUGCAAAAUCCUCUAUCAUGCCUCCAAGCUCUUACUUUCUUCCCCAUUAGUGUAAAAAAAAUAGAAAACAUACUUUAAUAAGAUAUAAGGUCAAAACAUAUAUUGACGUAAGGAAAAAAAUAAGUACAUAAAAUACGAUAACGUCAAAAUAGAGAUUACUAACAUAUAGGUCGAAAACUCGAGCUGAACUUAAAAUUGAAAACGGAAAACACUUUCCUCUAAACAUUUAUAAAGACCAAAAACAAUUAACUAAAUUAGAGGAAGUUAAAAUACUUAUACUAAAAACCAAAACUGAAAAUGGAAGUGGGUCUCGCCCAAAAAUUCGUAACUUCACGUACUUCGAGAAAAGAUGAGUCUUUGGGUCGAGUCCCAAGAAUAUCAAUUCCGAAUCUGCAUCAGCUGCUGUAGACGAAUCUUCUUUUCCACUUGCUUAAUGAAUCCAACGAAUAAGUUAUCGAUACAACAGUCAGCCGCCCGUGAUAUCGAUUACACAUUUGUUGUCUCGAUAAGCAAGCAGUAAUUUCCUGAGGGUGCACAAUUUCACACGUUGUAAAUUCGAUCCUCCGAAUACAAGUUCGCACAACUCCUCUAUCAACCAAUGUUGCAUGUAGCAACUUUCAUACCAUGUCGCGAAAAGUGCCAUCCACAAACCGAGCAAAAUAAGAACUAUCGUCGUAAAACUUUAUCCAGCACCAAGCAUCCUAUCCUCCUCAAUUCUUCCAAAUGUGACCAACUACUCCAGAAUUUUGCCAAUAAGUAACCCAUUUGAAAACUGUACCUUGAGAUUCAAGAGAAGUGGCUACCAUGCUAGUAGUAGACCCAAAAGCUCAAACCAAGCAAGCAGAAAACGAGAAGUCAUCUUCCUCAACAUGAAGUAUCUCUUGGGAACUGUUGUAGUGCUUAAUCCACCUCUCCAUUUUUGCUUAGUUGCAGAUUUCUAGUCAACCAAGGUCAAAGUUGGUGGAAAGAAGAACGACUCGCAAAUGGUCAACUAAAAACAAAAGAGAGUACACACAUUUCGAGAGAAGUGCAAAGAUUAUCCGAUUCUUGUCUCGAUCGUUCUGUAAUGCCAUUCCAGAAUGCACCAAACAGAUCUGCUAGAAGGGAUUCAACAUCCACAUACUCACAAGAAUAAGGUUCAGAAGUGAAGCAGUCGAAAUAUGCAUUGAGACGAACACAUAUCGUUGGAAAAUAACCGAUGUGAUGCCUAUGAAUUGUAGUAAGAUGGUGAUACAAUAUGCUGACCUUCUGUACUAAAACCUUCAACCAACUCUUACUAAAAGACCACUCAAGCCUCAUGCCCACGUGCUUUCAAACCGAAUGAUCCUGGUUAGAGGUAGUGGAAAGUUGCGUUGAGGCGAACAUAUCACAUCAUCAAAAAGGUCUACCCGAGUAAGAUAUGAUGGUUAUGAGUUGUAGCAAGAUAAUGAGUGGUGACCAUUCAAUUCAGCAUGAAGAUAGUGAUGCAAUAUGCUAAUCACCUGUACCACAAUCUUCACCGGUCUCUUACCAAAAGACGAAUCAAACUUCACACCCACGAGGAACUCUUUCUGGUAAGUCUGGUAAGCUUGUCAAAAUAAUAUGCUCCCAACAUUCCUGUCCAAAACGAUAAGAAUUGGGCGUACACUUCUGCCGAAUUGAUCGAUCGUGAAUUCCUCACUGAUUGAGCGAGAAACCAUGUCGAGAAGGCUAAAAGAACAUUCAAGAAUUUGAGAGUCAAAACAAGUCCAUUAAAAUUGGAGUACAAGAUAUCGGGAUUUAAACCAGAAACCAUGCUGAGAACAAAUUUUUUUUUUUUUUUUUUUUUUUUUUUUUUUGUUCCGACAUGAUUGAGUUUACAUUGAGAAACAAACAAGCGAAGGAAAAUGGAGAUGCAGAAAUAGAAGUCACUGUUUAUGAUUAUUUGGCUAAUCAUCACAAUAAGGUCGACUGGUUUCUUAGCCAAAAGGAACAGGUCUAAUCUCAAGAAUAGUUAGAAACUGCUAAUAAAAUUUGACGAGGCCAAAGAUAUUUCGAAAUUCACAAUACUUUGUGAGAUUUGUUUCAAAGUUCAAAAAUUAAACAUAAAACCUUUGAAUCAACAGAAUGACGAAGAAGAAACAUACAAAGCAGCCUGCGUAUGCAUGCAGUGACACGAUUAGCUACCUUAAAGUGAUGCUCUUGCGCAAACCAAGGCUCAAUGAAUCCAGAGAAGUUUAGAGCAAAGCUCGAUCUUCGUACAAUGAUGAAUAUGGUAGAGUCUCAAGUCAUUACACUGAAAAUUACAAGGCUGAACAGUUAAUGGACAGAAGCACUAGUCAGUUGAGCUACAAGCAAGAGGCUAAGUUCACCUCUACCGAAAAGUACGUAAACAAAGAGCUAAGGUUUACUACCGAGUACCAGACCCAGGUGAAAUUCAAGGAAUCUGUUUAUCCAAACAAGUCUGAAUUUUCAUCAUCCAAGUCCAACUACAACAAGAACAAGAAUCGUAACUCCAUUUUGGGAAAAUUGAUGGGAAUAGCAUCUGCUACCGAGGAGUUUCCCAAGAAAAUGAAAUCUCUAGACGAAGUCAACUCUCGAAGGAUUUGAUGUGAAGUUGACGAUCAAAGGUUCGUGAACUUGUCUUCGUCAUUGAGUAAACAAGAAGGUAAUCGAUAGAACAAUCGCCGAGAAUUGUUAUAAAGAUUAAUCCAAAUUUCUUUGGUGGUAAUGAGUCCGAGAACAUUGAUUUGUUCCCACUAACUACCACCUACUAACCGUCGUCACCACUCGCACUUACUCGCUUACUUAGCACACACUUCGAACAAUUCAAGCAAUUUCCAAGAGAUAUGACUCUGCCCGCCAUUCCUAGGGAACGCAUGUUGCAGAGUGAUAUCACCGCUUCAGAUCUCUAGUUGGUCUUAGUCAAUUCAUACUGCCAAGAUUUUUUUUUUUCCGCUUCCCAAGAUUUCGAUGCAAAGCCGACUCCGCCCGUAAUUCCUAGGGAACGCAUGUUGCAGAGUGGCAUCGCCAUUUCGGAUCUACAACUGGUCUUGACCAGAAUUCCUCAAACUGAGAUUUCUAAAACACGCCGCUUCCAAGUAACACCGACUAUGCAUGUCAUUCCCAGAGAAUGCACUUCACAGAGUAUCGAUCCGAUGCUGAAAGUCGUCCAACAAUUCAAACACGUCACCGAUAAGGCACAAUCCCGACACAAAUUCUUGAAUUUCAACCAGAAUGUGACAAUUCAAUCAGAGAGAGAUUUGCACAACUGCACCGACUGGCACAAAAAUCUGGAAGUCGUGACAUCCAAAUGAUGUCAAAACCAAGACUUUAUGAGAAUAGAAGAGAAUCCUAAGUAUGCUCUGAACAAACCACGCUCUGAUACCAAUCUGACACGCCCCGAUCCCGAUAUUCCUCGAAUACCAAGAUAGGCACGUGCUGGCCGACACCCAAGGGUGACGACAGCCAUUAAUUGAAAGCAAAUGCUAAGAAUAAGGAAUAAAUAAGGUUUAUAAAUAUAAAAGAAUAAAGAAUAUGCAUUUAAGGAACGUGUUCAGAGCACACAUCUAAUCGAGAAUAUUAGAAGAAUUAACAUAAACAAAUUGAAUGAACACAGAACGGGAUCCUACACCUAGAGGACUCGAAGAUACCGAUGCGGAAGUGUCUGGAUGUCGGGAUUGUACGCCUCGAUUCUAAGUCCUGAAGGGGGCGCAAAACAAACAUGAGUGGACCAAGUUGAUAUAUAUAUAUAAUAAAACAGUUAUCAACGUACUAACCCCCAGGUUUUUAUGAAAACACAUAUAUAAUGUUAAACAUAGGUUUUCCGAAACCUAGCAUGUCGUGUGCAAUGUCUCAAAUCAUAACUCAUAUAUAUAUAAUAACUCACUAGUGAAUUGUCCGAUAACCUGCAGGCCCCAUGCCAGCUCCCCGUCUCUGAGCGGACAGUCAGAGGAAUAUACACUACAGGCCCCAUGCCGGCUCCCCGUCCCUGUGCUAAAUAGCCAGAGGAAACACACUCCAGGCCCUAUGCCAACACCAAACCGUCGCCCGGGACGGACCGGAAUCUAUCCCUACGUCCCGUAGCGGAAAGGACCACUAGGUAAGUACGAAACCAUUGAACAUAUAUAUACUGAAAAACAACUUCGUAGUAUAAAGUCAUCCAUCAUCUAUACUACAAAGAGGUGUUCUAAACAUGUUCUAAAUAUCAUAUCGUCAUCCAUCGGAUAUUCUAUAAGAACAUGGGUUAUAGGAAAAAUAGUAAUAAUUCAAUCUAGCCUCAGUAAGCAUACUAUCUCAUAAAGUAUUUCAUAAAACAUAAGUAUUAAAUCAUGAUUUUCAUGUAUGCAUUUCUAUUGUUAAAACAUGCUUUUGAAGGGGUCCACUCACAAAU
rnacentral:lncRNA from 1 species